rnacentral:rRNA from 1 species
AAGCGCUUGCAAUCAGACUUGCGCGCGGUCGAUCAUCCGAUGUUCUCACCGGUGCACUCGACCGUGCUCAGGCCAGCAUCGGUUUCGGUGGUUGGAUAAAGGCCUUGGGAAUGUGGCUCUCUUCGGGGAGUGUUAUAGCCCUCGGUGCAAUGCAGCCUACCGGGACCGAGGACCGCGCUUCGGCUAGGAUGCUGGCGUAAUGGUUGUAAGCGA